rnacentral:rRNA from 1 species
CUAUCAGAGGGGAAUAACAGUGAGAAAUCAUUGCUAAUACCGCAUAUGCUUACACUAUCGCAUGAUAGAGUAAGGAAAGGAGCAAUCUGCUGAUAGGUGGGCUUGCGUCUGAUUAGCUAGUUGGUGAGGUAACGGCUUACCAAGGCGACGAUCAGUAGCCGGACUGAGAGGUUGAACGGCCACAUUGGGACUGAGAUACGGCCCAGACUCCUACGGGAGGCAGCAGUCGGGAAUAUUGCACAAUGGGGGAAACCCUGAUGCAGCGACGCCGCGUGGAGGAAGAAGGUCUUCGGAUUGUAAACUCCUGUCGUAAGGGACGAUAAUGACGGUACCUUACAAGAAAGCCACGGCUAACUACGUGCCAGCAGCCGCGGUAAAACGUAGGUGGCAAGCGUUGUCCGGAAUUACUGGGUGUAAAGGGAGCGCAGGCGGACCGGCAAGUUGGAAGUGAAAUCUAUGGGCUCAACCCAUAAAUUGCUUUCAAAACUGCUGGCCUUGAGUAGUGCAGAGGUAGGCGGAAUUCCCGGUGUAGCGGUGGAAUGCGUAGAUAUCGGGAGGAACACCAGUGGCGAAGGCGGCCUGCUGGACAUUAACUGACGCUGAGGCGCGAAAGCGUGGGGAGCAAACAGGAUUAGAUACCCUGGUAGUCCACGCCGUAAACGAUGGAUACUAGGUGUGGGAGGUAUUGACCCCUUCCGUGCCGGAGU